CCAUGAGUCAGAGGGAUGGGGAGAAUCUGCCCCAAGCAGCUGCAGCCCUCAGACACAUGUGGGCUGAGUGCUUCUUGAUUACAGAUAAUUCAAUUCAUGUGGGGAUGAGGAGGGAAAAACAAUAAAAUGAGUUUCAGAAAGGGCUGGGUUUCUAUGUUCUGGUCUUGUAGUUGGUGGCCUGGGAGAUGUUUUGGGUGCUGGAAGGUAGGGCUGCUUCUGGAACCUCUGUAGUGACUGUAGUGAAUGAUCUGGAACCGAAGUCAAAGAACGGAGCAUUUGUCCUUUUUCGAAAGCAGGAAGAAGGGAGACAAGGGAGCAAUAACAGUAAAACAGUGGCAGAAUACAAAUCAACCCACCCCAUGCACAGACGGCUGGGAUCCUUUGAGACUCUUGUUUUAUGGAUGAAAUAAAUUCAGCCAAUGAGGAAUGGAAGGCAUUCUGCUUGCGGAUUCUAGAAGGAACAAGAUAAUUUUUCCCACUUCUUCCUCUCAAUGUUUUCCAUCGCAUAAAUAAUACAUACAAAUAGCAAUAUUGGUUUUAUUUGAAGGGAAAAAAAAGAAAGAAGUGGAAUCUGCCUUGGAGUCAGAGCCAGGCUGGAGGCAGCCACGAUGAGGAUGAGGGUGAUGCACCACAACGAAGGCCUCAUGUUCCAUAGUGAGAACCACAAAGCGGCCACACCAUCCUCAGCCAGACGUGCUGGAGGAACACCAGUUAAGAAAUACACGUGGAUGCACAACCUUUUAGGUGAGCAAAAAUAAGCAGAAGUCCUUUGUAAAACAGGAGGCGUAACACAAACACAGCCCUGAGCUGCCCAGAAUGUCUUUGCAGUGACUCAGCGCCGAAACUGAGCCUUUGGGGCCAGAUAGCUCGGUCUCCUGUGACUCAUCCCCAAAACAACAGUGAGGCUGCCAGAUGCAAUGGGGCAUUGCGACAAAGGUUCUAGGCAGCAGUGAGGAGCCUGAGAGCAAUCCUCCCUCUCUUUAGAGGGAAAGGCAGCAAUUUUAGGUCCCCAAAACUAACAUGGGCUGCAUACGCACCUGGAAAAGUGCGUGUCUUUGUUUCUGAGGGGUUGCUGCAAUGGUCAACCA